AAUAAAUUCUUGAAAAAGAUUAAGAAAAUGAUCACGCCAAGUAUUAUGGGAUCCGUAAGGAAGUCCUAUGAAGCAUUUCAAGAUUUAAUUGCUAACAAAGAAACUCUUUUUAAGCUGCUGGGUGACCUGUCUGGGAUGAUUAUUGGUGAAGAGCAGGCAUCUGGAUGAAGAGUACAUUUACUCUUUCUUACAUUUCUGGACAGAGCACAAAAACACAGCUGCCGCUGAAUUGGGAAGAAUGGAACGGUGACUCGUAGUCUAUGUCACUGCUGCAGGACAGCCAUGUCCUCCAUAUCAUUGUUUACUUGUUCUUAGUGGUGUUAUUUCUAAUUAUGUGACACUGGGAAAUACUCCGAGCAAAAGCAAUAAACUGCAUGCGUACUGGGAGAUGAUUUGGUUAAGGUUGGAUUCUUCUGUGUGGUCACCAAUCCAUACUUUACAAAAUGUGUGAUUUUAUUUGUCUAGAUUUAUAAAGCCUUAUUAUUUAAUACCAAUUUGUCAUGGUUUAAGGUGAAUUGUUUGAAUAUUUUAAUGUACAAAGUACACUUUAUUAUGGUCUAUGAUCUGCUAUGGUGGCCCUGUAGGGAUCAUCCUAUUGGGCAGUUUCAGAGUCCCUUUACAAUGUAUGGAUUUUAACAUUUAGAAACAUGUAAGUUACUUCCAGGAAUUACAUUUUAUUUAUUUUUCUUUUUUGGAAAAACUAAAUGUGAACCCUGUCAUAUAAGCAAAUUAUCGAGUUGUCUAGGAUAGAGAGAGCCCUUCUAUAUUACAAAUCGUCUGUAGGAUGAGGUGCCAGAGAUUAAGUUCCCUAAGGGAGCUAGAAACACUAGAGGCAGUGAUGGCAAGAUGUGGACGAUUAUGUUAAUAUUUUAAAUAAACAUCUUGUUUACA